UGAUGCCCCCACCCCCUCCCCCACCGCGCCCUGCUUCCCUCGUGCGAAGGCAUAGACAAGCUUGCCGCUUUGUUUCAUCACCACAUCCAAAAAAGGUAAAGGGAGAGGGACGAAGCGGCAGAUGACGGCAGUCACAGAUGGGAGCACGUCUGGCGUAGUGAAGUGUGCAGAGUGGCUGCACGAACUGAUUCCAUGCUGGCUGGAUGGUGAUGUCUCAGUACACGUCGAGGAAGCGCUGCGGGAGGUGGCGACUCACCUCGAUGGGGUCUCCGCGGUCGUGGAGAAGGGUGUCCAUCUUCCCAUGAAGGCGGCGCUGCGCGUGCAGGUGAUGGCGCUGGAUAGCUGGAACUCAACAGCCCUAUGCGGAUGGCCAUUAGAACGCAACGAUCUGAAGGUGCAGGCUCGCUGGCUAGUUACAUACCUUUUCCUCUGCAGUCACUGCGUCUUUGCCGGACAAGAGGUUCGCGAAGCGCACUUGUCUCACCACCUAGACGACGCCGAGAAAUGCAUCCUGAUGUGCCUAAAGACGAGCAAGGGGCUCCUCCGUACACGCCACACCGAUGCCGCUGAAAAGUUACUUACGUGGGCGGCGUGCGUCGUCAAGGCAUGCGCAGGUGUCCCCGGCUCCACCAUGCGCAGAUUCUCCGCGGAGGUUCAAUUUGCUCAGUUGCGCGCAGCCUGGGAGGCAGCGCAGCACGAACGCGCGUGUGUCAUUGCCACCCAGCUGGCUGAGGAGACGCGCUCAAGCACGGCGUACACAGAGGCGCUGCUCGAGUUCAUCUACAACGCCGGUGUGAAAUCGCUGCAAGAGGACCGCUCCAAUACAGGUGCACUCGAUGGAGACACUCACGGUGCAUCGAAGGUCGAGGGAGUGGGGCUGCCAGGAUGCGCAUCAGGGCAGCAUAUGCCAGACGUACAGGCCUCGGUGCAGAGUAUGCUUCUCCUCUCCCUGCGCCUGCAGAAAGCCGUCAAAGCUCGCUCAGGGAAGCAGCGGACAUUUCUUGGCAUGACGUACCUGCAAUAUGGGUAUUCUCUGCUUUUGUGCGGCAAGUAUGACGCCGCGGCGGAGGCGGCGUCGACGUCGUACGAGCUUCUUCGCACCCUCGAGCCCAUCGUGGUCCGCUUCAAGGCCGAGGUUCACCGUCACGCCACGGAUGAGGUGUUGGCAUUGUUUCGUGCGCUAUGCAGCAAUGCCACGGUUGCCGUGGGGGACCUGUGCGCCAUGGCAAGCCUUGCGUUGGAGAAGAUGCCCGCUAUGCAGGAAACUUUGUUUGCGGAGCUGCAUCGGCGCGUGGCGGCCUCGGCGAGCGCUGUCGACCAGUUCCGGCUCCUCUGCGUUCUCAUUCGCCACUGCUCUGAGUGGAGCGUUGCGGAGCUGCUGCGUCGCCUCUCCGAUGGUGAUACGCCGCCACCAGCGUUUCAUCGCUUUCUGUUCUGCUGCCUCUGGCGGCUGUCAGCGAUGGCGGUAAACGCGCAGCCGCGCUGCUUGUCUGCCGCGACUCGGUGGAGCUGCCUGCACACCGCACAGCGUCUCUUCUGCGGAGUUGCCUCGGAGGAAGAGCGACAGGCCAUUUUACUGGACAUGACACAGCUGGCCCUCGCAAUGCAUGACAAUGGCGUAGAAGCCACGGAAGAGCUCCAGCAGACGCUGGCGUUGUGCCACAACGUGAAGACUAUCGCUUCUGCACUGGAGGUAUCUUCCUUGCAAGCCCAGGCGCAAAUUGCGUUUUUGCUUGACAAAAAAGACCAUGGAAUGGAACGGGUGAGAGCGCUACUGGAAUGCACUGCAGGAGAGACAGCGGUGCGGGCCUGCAGCGAACUCGUCACGUUUUUGCUCCGAUCGUCGUUGCUUCACUCGGCUGGCGCGGUGGCAGAAUUAUGCGUUGCUGCAUUUCACCAGCACCAGUCGCCGAUGCGCAUUAUCGAGUUUGCCAAGGUGUUCGCCAUGGGAUGCUUGGUAGACCAGAAUGAGGGACUCCGCGCCGAGGCUGGCGGAAUUCUUGAGGUGCACGUCUGUCCCAUCUUGCAGAACGUGUCACUGACGUUGCCGGACGCGCGAUGGUGGAGCCGGUUUCUCUGGUACGCUGCCGAGGCGCUCCUUGACAGCGACCCUGUACGAGCCGUGCGACUCCUCCAGGCCGGAGUGGAGCUUGACGUAGACCGUAGCGACGCCGGCGAGGCCGAGGGGUCCAGGACAGCGGCGGACGAGUUUCUGCGCAAUCGGCUGUGCCUGUUGCUAGAUACUGAGUUUGACACCUUCGCAGCUGGGCAAGCAGCUCUCUCCACUAUGGAGCUUCGGCGGCACGGGGACUCUCUCGCGAGCCUUCUCAGCUCGUGUGACGAUGAGAGGAAUAGCACAGACGAGAGUUCCACCCUACGGCAGCGUGUAACGCUGUUUCUCGCGCGCUUAGAAGCGACCCUGCGUGACAUGCUGGCGCACGAUGCCUCUACUCCCAUUGACGUGGAAGCGCUGCGCCUCGACGAACUCCCUAGUAUGGCUGCCAUAAGCUCAGGCGAUCUCGAGCAAGUGGCGGCAGUGUGCCACUACGUGGCCUCACGCCUUUCUCCUCCUGGUUCCUAUUCUCUAUGUGAUGCAGCGCUCAACAUCAUGCUAGCCGCGGCCCAGCUGCAGCUCAGCAGCGACGUCGCCUCCACUGCUGCACUCGGCGCUCUCUUCGCAACCAUCUACGCCGCAUUCAAGAUGGCUCGUAACGCUGACGGACGCCUGCUGGUCUCCGAGGCCCUCACCGCCGCCCUCCCUCAUCUCACUGCGAAGAAUGCCUCGCUGCGUUCCGCUUUCUCUCACUUACACAGCGAUGAUGGUGAGUGCUCUACGGUGGCACGAGACCUUGACCUCUGCGAAACCGUAGUUGAGUUCUUCGCCGUUGAAGCGUGGAAUGAGUCAGUGCAGUGGAACAUUCUGCAGAGGCGUGCGCUGGUCGAGCGAUGGCGCGCCGUCGUCGCGGUGCUCACGAGUGUCCUAAGCGACGCCAACGCGUCGAAGGCUGCUAUCGCCGACCUUGCUGCGCAGAUGCCUUUGCUGUGAGGGUUGUGUGAUGCGCUUUUGUUCUUUGCGUGACAUUGUGGUAUCCUCCCCCGUCGUCGCGCAUCCGGAUGGGGAAGGAGCACAGCAAGUUGUGGGCCACCCCCCCCCCCUGCUGCGCAUGGUGGGAUAGAACACCUUCGGCGCGCUGGCGAUAGUCCUUGAUUUCUUCUGCUAGUUCUACUGCUGCUUCGUUACCUUUCCAGUCGAUCGCCUCGAAACGCAUAUAUUACUUUUGGACCGCUAGACUGACUGCGAUGGCUGCUGCCGUGCAUCCAAACCCAGAAGAGACAAGAGUCGCUGCCUGCCCCUCUUCCGCGCGGCGACUUCAUCUCUCGUACUGCUGGUGGUAGAAUCGCGUACAGCCUCCUAUUCUGCGGAGAUUGUGCCCCUUUCCUCCCUCCCUCCUCUUUCCUCACCAGCAGUGGACUCCCUUUCUUCACGCACGCUGUGCAGUGUGCGGUAUCUUUAGUCGUACGAGACGCACGUCUCGCCAAACUGCGAGGUGAGACGGGUCUCCCUGCGCUUCCACUUAAUCUUGUCUCACCUUUGCCCCUCGCCUUGCUCCUGUUCUCUUUCUCCUUGUGCCUGUGGGCUUCGGCGUUCUUGUUUCUCUUGUGCGGAUCACCCGGUGAAG
rnacentral:misc_RNA from 1 species